GACGAACGCUGGCGGCGUGCUUAACACAUGCAAGUCGAACGGAAAGGCCCUGCUUUUGUGGGGUGCUCGAGUGGCGAACGGGUGAGUAACACGUGAGUAACCUGCCCUUGACUUUGGGAUAACUUCAGGAAACUGGGGCUAAUACCGGACAGGAGCUCCUGCUGCAUGGUGGGGGUUGGAAAGUUUCGGCGGGUGGGGAUGGACUCGCGGCUUAUCAGCUUGUUGGUGGGGUAGUGGCUUACCAAGGCUUUGACGGGUAGCCGGCCUGAGAGGGUGACCGGCCACAUUGGGACUGAGAUACGGCCCAGAGUCCUACGGGAGGCAGCAGUGGGGAAUAUUGCACAAUGGGCGGAAGCCUGAUGCAGCGACGCCGCGUGCGGGAUGACGGCCUUCGGGUUGUAAACCGCUUUCGCCUGUGACGAAGCGUGAGUGACGGUAAUGGGUAAAGAAGCACCGGCUAACUACGUG
rnacentral:rRNA from 1 species